rnacentral:lncRNA from 1 species
UUUAAAUCCUUCUCGACUACCUUGGAGCUUGUGGUAUAGGAACUAGGUUGUUAUAUUUGUUGAUCACUAUCUUGUUUCUUAAAGAACCAUUCUUUGAGUUCUAUCCCUCGUUCAUUUGCUCUUAGGCAAAUCACAUUGUAGGAUUACAAUGAACUACCCAACAAAACAACAUUUGUUAGUUGGUUUAUCGAAGCGAUAUCCAAAAGUUAAUUUAAGGAUAUCACACAAGAUUGUUAUCAAACAAAUAUUGCUUAUUAGCUCACAACCCCAAAUCUUAACAUGCUUGAGAUUUGUCUUUCUUUCCAACUACAUCUUAUGGAGUCAUGAAAAAUUUCGAAGAUCUUCUAAUUGACAAUCAUAUUGUUUUUAGAAGUAUAUAUCCUAUAUAUGGGUAAUAGAUAACAUCUAACGAACUAAAUCUUAUUCGAGUUCGUUCUUCUCCUUAAUGGAGAAAUUUAUUAUCUUAUGAUGCUUCUUUCCUUGAUAUCUUUCAAGGAGACUCAUCUAAAGUGUUUCUUUUCCUUGGAUCAAAUCUAAGAAGGUAAAUACUUUAGACGUCUUACUCAUCAACUUACAUUUCUUGAAUUCUUUGAAACCUUUUGCAAAGUAUUCAGAUUUGUGUUUAUUCAAAAUAAACUAUAGUCCAACCGAGAGUGAUCUUCGGUGAAUGUCAUAUAACAUGAGUAGUAUUUGUUGGAAAUGUGCCCUAAAGCCAAUCAUAUGAUGAUACUUUACGGACAUUUUACAUGUUAAACUAAUCUAGUUUAACUAUAAAGGGCAAAGAUUAUUGUUUGAGCCAUCUCAUAUAAAUGUUAUAUGCUUAAACGAUAAAGUCCAAGGAAUAUGUGAUUGGGAGAAUGCAAUCUAAUGAAGU